CCUACGGGAGGCAGCAGUAAGGAAUAUUGGUCAAUGGACGCAAGUCUGAACCAGCCAUGCCGCGUGAAGGAUUAAGGUCCUCUGGAUUGUAAACUUCUUUUAUUUGGGACGAAAAAGGGCCUUUCUAGGUCAACUGACGGUACCAGAUGAAUAAGCACCGGCUAACUCCGUGCCAGCAGCCGCGGUAAUACGGAGGGUGCAAGCGUUAUCCGGAUUCACUGGGUUUAAAGGGUGCGUAGGCGGGUAGGUAAGUCAGUGGUGAAAUCCUAGAGCUUAACUCUAGAACUGCCAUUGAUACUAUCUAUCUUGAAUAUUGUGGAGGUAAGCGGAAUAUGUCAUGUAGCGGUGAAAUGCUUAGAUAUGACAUAGAACACCUAUUGCGAAGGCAGCUUACUACGCAUAUAUUGACGCUGAGGCACGAAAGCGUGGGGAUCAAACAGGAUUAGAUACCCUGGUAGUCCACGCCCUAAACCUAUGGAUACUCGACAUUUGUGUAUACACAAUAAGUAGUCUGAGCGAAGACGAGUUAAGUAUACCACCGUAACGGUAAGGUACGUUCCGCGAGAGUUAGAACGUUACGAAGGAAGUUAGACGGCGUUGAGACGNGCGACGGACGACGACGAGGGAGGAGGAG
rnacentral:rRNA from 1 species